rnacentral:lncRNA from 1 species
AUUUAGGAUGCACCUUGGAUGUCCACAGCUUUGUCUCAUUGUUUUACAAAGAGGGCCUGGGAAUAUGUGAGAGAAAGAGGGAACCAAAAAGCACCCAACAGAGGAAAAUUCUGACCUUGUAUAUGAGAAAGAAGAGUAAAUUGGGUGGGGAAUUUAUAAAGGUGAGAGUGGGCACUAGAAGAAGUGAGUCUAGAGGGAUGAAUUUCUAACUGCAAUAAAACAACUGCCCAACAGAGGAGGAGUGCAAUUCAACAGAUGUUUCCUGAGCUCCUAUAAUUGCAAAGCAAUACUUGUACCAGGUGUACCUUAAUAUCCUCCCAGAGAUGCAAGGCCAAGGGAACAGCAUAGAACUUCCAGUUGUCCACUUUUUUUUUUUUUUUUGUAUUUCAGGGCAAUGACCGCCAGGACUUUGGGAGAAGGGAUGAUGCUGAUAGCAAAGCCUUUCUUUCUUAUGGGGCUGAAGUGAAGUCAGAUGUGGAGUUGUGGGCACUGGAAAUCUAAGGAGAGGUUCCUAGAUUCUCACCUCCACAAACCAGUGCCUAUAGGGAGCAGAUGAAAAGCAAAACUUAGGGUGGGGAUAAGUUCUGCUCACCAGUGGCACCUCCAGACUCCUACUGCUAACUGCAAAAACACCAAGGCACAGCCCCCUGGGUUUGCAAAUGCUAGCAUUACAGCCAGCAACCUUGGGCCUGAGGAGCAGGGCAUGAGGAAGAGUGCCUGGACAGCCCACAGGCUCUGGAACUCUGCUGCAUCUCAUCUCUGGUCAGUAACCUCCUCCUUCCUUUGCAGCAGUAUGUGCCAUCACACACAGCUUUAGGGGGUCAAGGGCAUUCACAUUUUAAAAUCAUUUAUCAAAUUAAUAUCUAGAAAGUAUUUACUAAUGUUUUUUCUCAAAAUCAGGUAUUUUUAAAAUCAUUUUUGCCACUAAAAAGCAUCUCAAUGUGUUAUUUCCAUUUGGUGCUUUGUAAUUAGAAGGGAUGUUGAACUUUCCCCCAUAA